UACGAAGGGGGCUAGCGUUGUUCGGAAUUACUGGGCGUAAAGCGCGUGUAGGCGGGUCUUUAAGUCAGGGGUGAAAUCCCGAGGCUCAACCUCGGAACUGCCUUUGAUACUGCAAAUCUCGAGUCCGGAAGAGGUGAGUGGAAUUCCUAGUGUAGAGGUGAAAUUCGUAGAUAUUAGGAAGAACACCAGUGGCGAAGGCGGCUCACUGGUCCGGUACUGACGCUGAGGUGCGAAAGCGUGGGGAGCAAACAGG
rnacentral:rRNA from 1 species